rnacentral:rRNA from 1 species
UACAGAGGUGCCAAGCGUUAGGCGGAAUCACUGGGCUUAAAGCGCGUGUAGGCGGGUCGUUAAGUGUCUUGUGAAAUCCCACGGCUCAACCGUGGAACUGCUGGGCAUACUGACGAUCUUGAGGCACUCAGGGGCUGUCGGAACAAAUGGUGGAGCGGUGAAAUGCGUAGAUAUCAUUUGGAACGCCAACGGCGAAAGCAGACGGCUGGGGGGUGUCCUGACGCUGAGACGCGAAAGCCAGGGGAGCGAACGGG